GCCCGGAUGGUGAAAUUGGUAGACACGCUAGUUUCAGGGACUAGUGUUCGCAAGGACGUGAGAGUUCGAGUCUCUCUUCGGGCA
rnacentral:tRNA from 1 species